GCGCUGCCAACACGGGAAACCUGUGCCAGGGGCUGGCUAUAGCGAGCAGACUGCUUAAAGAGACCUGAGGCAAAUGACUUUUCGCACCUUAAUCACGUCUUCGCCUGUCGUCAUUCUUUGAAGAUCUUAAAGAGAUCGAUGCUGUCGGUGACUGAUCAAGUUUUUAGCGUGUACUGUACGUUGACGUACAAGAGGCCAAGGUUUACGGAUUGCCUGAACCAGUGCGUGUCAGUUCCUGCUAGGACUUUACUCGCGGGAAGGGUAACCUGCAACUUGGCAUCUUCGUAACGGGGAAUUCGUUUGAUAAAGCGGAUCCUGACGGAUGAGAUGUGAACCCAAGACCUCUGAAUUGCUGAUAUAAGGCUUCCCUUUGAAGUGAUUCACCCAGGAUUGUGUGAUAACCUCAUAAUAUGCAGACUAAGGUGCAUUAAUACCGUUCGGUUGAGUGUUCAAUAACGGGGACCGGGAAAUAGAGUGUGUGGUACAGACGUGAUGUGCGAACAUCGUGUCAGUGAGCAACAGUUUCCACUCCCAGUCUUGUCAACAUAUGAUGUGGUAAUCGUCUUGCUGGACGGCUAGCCAACGGCAGGUUACUCCAGAGUCGAGGGCAGAUACCGAGAGAGUCAACUAAAAGCUACAUAUUGCUGGAAAGCUGAACGUGGUUCGGAGAGUUGGAACGCCACGAGGAGUGGUAGACUACCCACUGAGCUGAUCAAUACACACACCGCGAGGCACUAGUGUGUUGUCUGGCCUUGUCCCUUCACACGACCGCCUGUUGGAUUACUAGCAUACGGGACACUCAUAACUGCUAACGGGACAAGUUGGCAACAAACCGCAGAGGUGUCCUGGAUUGAGGACAAACCGCGGUGAAGGCUGGCCCGGGAGCCAGAAAGGACUCGUCUUCGAUACUUGCGCGAACGCAAGUGGAACUUUAGUACCGCUCCCCAGUUUUGCCUUUCAUAAAGAAACUCUGGAUUUACGAUUUUUUCGUUGAAUUUCCCUCAGCUCAACACAGCAACUGCUGUUCAGCGGAACCAGAUGUGAAUCUGUGGACAGCUGGAACUGGAAAAUUUACCCAAUUCUCCUCAUUUUGCUUCGAAAACCUGGACAAUUUGGACUUUUUGAAUGGUAGCAGUUUGAAGUUUGUAGCAGUUUGAUCCGUCGACAACGCCACUGCACAAUGGCGGGAAGAAACAGGCAAGGGCCCCACAGGGGCAUUGCCAUAAUCUGCAG